AUAAAGUGCAGCCAUGAGUUUCUGCGCCCAACUUUGAUCGUCCGUCUUAUUUGAAAUUUUUUUAUAAUUAGUAUUUUUUUGUUGCUAUAAGAUGAUGAAACACGAAUAAUACUUUACUCGUGACUUAUAUUUUUAAUUAUUUUUAAAAAAAAUUUAAAUAAGACGAAUGGUCAAAGUUGGGCGCGAAAAACGAUGGCUGCACUUAUU
rfam:Oryza sativa (indica cultivar-group) chromosome 5, whole genome shotgun sequence.